ACAAAAGAAUACAAGAUACCUCAUAUAACCACAAGAAUAUGGCUUGUAAGUCUCUACCAAGACACCGUAAAUGUCUUGACUAUGAUCGGUAUAUGUUUGCACUA
rnacentral:ncRNA from 2 species